rnacentral:rRNA from 1 species
AUUGAACGCUGGCGGCAUGGCUAAAACAUGCAAGUCGUACGAGAACCGCGCAAGCGGGGACAGUGGCGGAAGGGCGAGUAAUGCGCUCCUACGUGCCCCAAGGUGGGGAUAGGGUCGGGAAACGUCGGCGUAAUACCCCAUCGUGCUCUUCGGAGGAAAGCUUUUGCGUCCNCGGGAGCGGGGAGCGUCCUAUCAGGUAGUUGGA